rnacentral:tRNA from 3 species
GGUCCGUUGGUCAAGCGGUCAAGACGCCGCCCUCUCACGGCGGAAACACGGGUUCGAUUCCCGUACGGACUG